UGGGGAAUUUUGGACAAUGGGCGAAAGCCUGAUCCAGCAAUGCCGCGUGUGUGAAGAAGGCCUUCGGGUUGUAAGGCACUUUUGUCCGGAAAGAAAUGGCUCUGGUUAAUACCUGGGGUCGAUGACGGUACCGGAAGAAUAAGGACCGGCUAACUACGUGCCAGCAGCCGCGGUAAUACGUAGGGUCCAAGCGUUAAUCGGAAUUACUGGGCGUAAAGCGUGCGCAGGCGGUUGUGCAAGACCGAUGUGAAAUCCCCGAGCUUAACUUGGGAAUUGCAUUGGUGACUGCACGGCUAGAGUGUGUCAGAGGGGGGUAGAAUUCCACGUGUAGCAGUGAAAUGCGUAGAGAUGUGGAGGAAUACCGAUGGCGAAGGCAGCCCCCUGGGAUAACACUGACGCUCAUGCACGAAAGCGUGGGGAGCAAACAGGAUUAGAUACCCUGGUAGUCCACGCCCUAAACGAUGUCAACUAGUUGUUGGGGAUUCAUUUCCUUAGUAACGUAGCUAACGCGUGAAGUUGACCGCCUGGGGAGUACGGUCGCAAGAUUAAAAGCUCAAAUG
rnacentral:rRNA from 1 species